rnacentral:rRNA from 1 species
UGCCAGCAGCCGCGGUAAUACGGAGGGUGCAAGCGUUGUUCGGAAUUACUGGGCGUAAAGAGCGCGUAGGCGGCUUUUUAAGUCAGGUGUGAAAGAUCCCGGCUCAACCGAGGAAUGUCAUCUGAAACCGGCAGGCUUGAGACAGUCAGGGGUGUGUGGAACUUCCAGUGGAGCGGUGAAAUGUGUUGAUAUUGGAAGGAACGCCGGUGGCGAAAGCGACACACUGGGGCUGUUCUGACGCUGAGGCACGAAAGCUAGGGGAGCGAACGGGAUUAGAUA